rnacentral:rRNA from 1 species
AUUGAACGCUGGCGGCAGGCCUAACACAUGCAAGUCGAACGGUAACAGGAAGCAGCUUGCUGCUUUGCUGACGAGUGGCGGACGGGUGAGUAAUGUCUGGGAAACUGCCCGAUGGAGGGGGAUAACUACUGGAAACGGUAGCUAAUACCGCAUAACGUCGCAAGACAAAAGAGGGGGACCUUAGGGCCUCUUGCCAUCGGAUGUGCCCAGAUGGGAUUAGCUAGUAGGUGGGGUAACGGCUCACCUAGGCGACGAUCCCUAGCUGGUCUGAGAGGAUGACCAGCCACACUGGAACUGAGACACGGUCCAGACUCCUACGGGAGGCAGCAGUGGGGAAUAUUGCACAAUGGGCGCAAGCCUGAUGCAGCCAUGCCGCGUGUAUGAAGAAGGCCUUCGGGUUGUAAAGUACUUUCAGCGGGGAGGAAGGGAGUAAAGUUAAUACCUUUGCUCAUUGACGUUACCCGCAGAAGAAGCACCGGCUAACUCCGUG